rnacentral:rRNA from 1 species
UACGGAGGGUGCAAGCGUUAUCCGGAUUCACUGGGUUUAAAGGGUGCGUAGGCGGGUCUGUAAGUCAGUGGUGAAAUCUCCAAGCUUAACUUGGAAACUGCCGUUGAUACUAUAGAUCUUGAAUGUUGUGGAGGUGAGCGGAAUAUGUCAUGUAGCGGUGAAAUGCUUAGAUAUGACAUAGAACACCAAUUGCGAAGGCAGCUCACUACACAAAGAUUGACACUGAGGCACGAAAGCGUGGGGAGCAAACAGG